CUACGGGCCGCUCCAGUGAGGAAUAUUGGUCAAUGGGCGCAAGCCUGAACCAGCCAAUCCGCGUGCAGGAUGAAUGCCCUAUGGGUUGUAAACUGCUUUUAUACAGGAAGAAUCCUUCAUACGUGUAUGGAGCUGACUGUACUGUAAGAAUAAGCAUCGGCUAACUGCGUGCCAGCAGCCGCGGUAAUACGGAGGAUGCGAGCGUUAUCCGGAUUUAUUAGGUCUAAAGGGUGCGUAGGCGGAUAAUUAAGUCAGUGGUGAAAUCCUGCAGCUUAACUGUAGAACUGCCAUUGAUACUGGUUGUCUUGAGUUUAGUUGAGGUAAGCGGAAUGUGUAGUGUAGCGGUGAAAUGCUUAGAUAUUACACAGAACACCGAUUGCGAAGGCAGCUUACUAAGCUACAACUGACGCUGAGGCACGAAAGCGUGGGGAGCGAACAGGAUUAGAUACCCCCGUAGUC
rnacentral:rRNA from 1 species